GAUGAACGCUAGCUACAGGCUUAACACAUGCAAGUCGAGGGGCAGCAUGGUCUUAGCUUGCUAAGGCUGAUGGAGACCGGCGCACGGGUGAGUAACACGUAUCCAACCUGCCGUCUACUCUUGGCCAGCCUUCUGUAACGAAGAUUAAUCCAGGAUGAGAUCAUGAGUUCACAUGUCCGCAUGAUUAAAGGUAUUUUCCGGUAGGCGAGGGGGAUGCGUUCCAUUAGAUAGUAGGCGGGGUAACGGCCCACCUAGUCAACGAUGGAUAGGGGUUCUGAGAGGAAGGUCCCCCACAUUGGAACUGAGACACGGUCCAAACUCCUACGGGAGGCAGCAGUGAGGAAUAUUGGUCAAUGGGCGAUGGCCUGAACCAGCCAAGUAGCGUGAAGGAUGACUGCCCUAUGGGUUGUAAACUUCUUUUAUAAAGGAAUAAAGUCGGGUAUGCAUACCCGUUUGCAUGUACUUUAUGAAUAAGGAUCGGCUAACUCCGUGCCAGCCGCCGCAGUAA
rnacentral:rRNA from 1 species